CCUAUGGGUGGCUGCAGUGGGGGAUAUUGCACAAUGGGGGAAACCCUGAUGCAGCGACGCCGCGUGUGGGAAGACGGUCCUCUGGAUUGUAAACCACUGUCCCCAGGGACGAAGAUGACGGUACCUGGGGAGGAAGCCACGGCUAACUACGUGCCAGCAGCCGCGGUAAUACGUAGGUGGCAAGCGUUGUCCGGAUUUACUGGGUGUAAAGGGCGUGUAGCCGGGCUGACAAGUCAGAUGUGAAAUUCCGGGGCUCAACCCCGGACCUGCAUUUGAAACUGUUGGUCUUGAGUAUCGGAGAGGCAGGCGGAAUUCCUAGUGUAGCGGUGAAAUGCGUAGAUAUUAGGAGGAACACCAGUGGCGAAGGCGGCCUGCUGGGCUUUUACUGACGCUGAGGCUCGAAAGUGUGGGGAGCAAACAGGAUUAGAUACCCCGGUAGUC
rnacentral:rRNA from 1 species